rnacentral:rRNA from 1 species
GACGAACGCUGGCGGCGUGCCUAACACAUGCAAGUCGAACGGCAACGCCCUGCUUUUGUGGGGUGAUCGAGUGGCGAACGGGUGAGUAACACGUGAGUAACCUGCCCUUGAUUUUGGGAUAACUUCAGGAAACUGGAGCUAAUCCCGGAUCGGAGCUCCUGCUGCAUGGUGGGGGUUGGAAAGUUUCGGCGGUUGGGGAUGGACUGGCGGCUUAUCAGCUUGUUGGUGGGGUAGUGGCAUACCAAGGCUUUGAAGGAUCGGCGGCCUGAGAGGGUGGCCGGCCACAAUAGGACUGAGGGACGGAGCAGUCGCCAACGUUAGACAGUGGGGGGGAAUAUUGCACAAUGGUCGGGAGCCUGAGGCGGCGGCGCCGCGUUCGGGAAGACGUCCUUCGGGUAAUAAACCGCUUUCGCCUAUUACGAAGCGUGAGUGACGGUAAUGGGUGAAGAAGCACCGGCUAACUACGUG